GAGAAUAUAGCUCAGUGGUGGUGUGCAUGCCUAGCAUGCAUGAGGUCCUGGGUUCAAUCCCCAGUACCUUCA
rnacentral:tRNA from 1 species